UUAGUUUUGCAAUUGGAUUGAGAACAACGUACAAAUGUUAUCGAUAAACAAUUGGAGGGCAAGUCUGGUGCCAGCAGCCGCGGUAAUUCCAGCUCCAAUAGCGUAUAUUAACGUUGUUGCAGUUAAAAAGCUCGUAGUUGAAUUGAAGUGAACUUGGGUUGAUGUGAUCUUCGGAUGACAUGAAUCAAAGUUGACUCUUUCCAAAGUCAAUACAUUGGUAUUCAUUUAUCUUUGUAUUGUGUUUGGUCAUUUACUGUGAGAAAAUUAGAGUGUUCAAAGCAGACGUUUGUUUGAAUACAUUAGCAUGGAAUAAUCAUAUAUGGCUUUCAUGUUGAUUUGAUUGGUUUGAAUAUGGAAGCAAGAUUAAAAGGGACAGUUGGGGGUAUUCAUAGGCAAUACUCAG
rnacentral:rRNA from 1 species